rnacentral:rRNA from 1 species
UGCAAGUCGAACGGAAUCCCUCGGGAUUUAGUGGCGGACGGGUGAGUAACACGUAAGAACCUGCCUCUAGGACGGGGACAACAGUUGGAAACGACUGCUAAACCCGGAUGAGCCGAAAGGUAAAAGAUUUAUCGCCUAGAGAGGGGCUUGCGUCUGAUUAGCUAGUUGGUAAGGUAAAAGCUUACCAAGGCGACGAUCAGUAGCUGGUCUGAGAGGAUGAUCAGCCACACUGGGACUGAGACACGGCCCAGACUCCUACGGGAGGCAGCAGUGGGGAAUUUUCCGCAAUGGGCGAAAGCCUGACGGAGCAAGACCGCGUGGGGGAGGAAGGUUCUUGGAUUGUCAACCCCUUUUCUCAGGGAAGAACACAAUGACGGUACCUGAGGAAAAAGCAUCGGCUAACUCCGUGCCAGCAGCCGCGGUAAUACGGGGGAUGCAAGCGUUAUCCGGAAUGAUUGGGCGUAAAGAGUCCGUAGGUAGUCAAUCAAGUCUGCUGUUAAAGAGCGAGGCUUAACUUCGUAAAGGCAGUGGAAACUGAUAGACUAGAGUGUAGUAGGGGCAGAGGGGAUUCCUGGUGUAGCGGUGAAAUGCGUAGAGAUCAGGAAGAACACCGGUGGCGAAGGCGCUCUGCUGGGCUAUAACUGACACUGAGGGACGAAAGCUAGGGGAGCGAAUGGGAUUAGAUACCCCAGUAGUCCUAGCGGUAAACGAUGGAAACUAGGUGUGGCCUGUAUCGACCCGAGCCGUGCCGAAGC